UGGGGAAUUUUGGACAAUGGGCGAAAGCCUGAUCCAGCAAUGCCGCGUGUGUGAAGAAGGCCUUCGGGUUGUAAAGCACUUUUGUCCGGAAAGAAAUCCUUGGCUCUAAUACAGUCGGGGGAUGACGGUACCGGAAGAAUAAGCACCGGCUAACUACGUGCCGGCAGCCGCGGUAAUACGUAGGGUGCAAGCGUUAAUCGGAAUUACUGGGCGUAAAGCGUGCGCAGGCGGUUUGCUAAGACCGAUGUGAAAUCCCCGGGCUCAACCUGGGAACUGCAUUGGUGACUGGCAGGCUAGAGUAUGGCAGAGGGGGGUAGAAUUCCACGUGUAGCAGUGAAAUGCGUAGAGAUGUGGAGGAAUACCGAUGGCGAAGGCAGCCCCCUGGGCCAAUACUGACGCUCAUGCACGAAAGCGUGGGGAGCAAACAGGAUUAGAUACCCUGGUAGUCCACGCCCUAAACGAUGUCAACUAGUUGUUGGGGAUUCAUUUCCUUAGUAACGUAGCUAACGCGUGAAGUUGACCGCCUGGGGAGUACGGUCGCAAGAUUAAAACUUAAAGGAAUUGACGGGGU
rnacentral:rRNA from 1 species